rnacentral:rRNA from 1 species
UACAGAGGGUGCGAGCGUUAAUCGGAAUUACUGGGCGUAAAGCGUGCGUAGACGGUUAUUUAAGUCGGGUGUGAAAGCCCCGGGCUCAACCUGGGAACUGCAUUCGAGACUGAAUAGCUAGGGUACGGUAGAGGGAAGCGGAAUUUCCGGUGCAGCGGUGAAAUGCGUAGAUAUCGGAAGGAACAUCAGUGGCGAAAGCGGCUACCUGGCCCACUCUUGACGCUGAGGAGCGAAAGCGUGGGGAGCAAACAGGG